CUCCCUUCCUCUUUCUCCCUAUUUUCAUAACACGUUAUCAGCACCAUUGCUAACGGUUCGAUGAUAGCAUUGAAAACGAAAAGCAAAGGAACAUACCAUCACCCAUCCGGAUUAAGCGAAAAGAAAAAUAGAGGAACUACCGUUAUUCAAUGUGUUAUCUUCAAAAGUUUGGUGAUAUAAAUACUCACCUAGUGCAUACAAGUGAAGAUUUGAAAAUUCAAGUCAAAUGGUGGAGAAUCAAAUUUCAAGAAGCUACAUGUUGAUACAUUUGGAAAGUUAUCAAUAAUAUUAUAUUCAUUGAACUUGAAGAUCUCAAGUGAUGUAUUCAUCAGGGGGAGAAAAUACGCGUUGCACUCUUUUUCCCUUAACCAUGGUUUUGUCCCAUUGGGUUUUCCUGGCGCACGUAUAUCUACGUGCAGGCCCCUGCGCCAUCCGCGCGUUGAACAAAUUGGGUGGUGCCGAAAGCAGAGUCGAGGCGGGGAGCUAGGGAGUGCGGGAAUCAGAGCGGAAACGAGGUCUUUGGUGGCGACGAUUUAGAGGUGGGGGUGCUGCUGCGAUGCUUCCGAGAGAAGGGUGUAGGCGAGGAUGGUGGUGCUGGGGCGGCUAGGCCGAUCCAGACACCAUCUAAAAUUGAUUUACCAAAAAAAAACAAAACAAAUGGUAGUCGAAUUUUUCCACUCUAAAAGAAGUUGAUAUUGUUGUUCAUGUGGAAGUGUGGAACUACUGAAGUAGUUCUCACUUGCGCACCAUCAUAUAGUCCUUGUCAAACUGCCAUUUAUUUGGAUUGUUUUUCUCUUGUUUUUGCAUUAUGAGUUAUGACAAAGAAAACAGAAAAGGAAAACAGUAAUAUCUCCGGCGAUUAACCGCUCUCGAUUCGAUUUUCA